UGGAGCCUCAGAUAACAGAAGCCAUGG
rnacentral:piRNA from 1 species